UACGUAGGGUGCAAGCGUUGUCCGGAAUCAUUGGGCGUAAAGAGCGUGUAGGCGGCCUGAUAAGUCGGCUGUGAAAGUCAAGGGCUCAACCCUUGAAUGCCGGCCGAUACUGUCAGGCUAGAGUCCGGAAGAGGCGAGUGGAAUUCCUGGUGUAGCGGUGAAAUGCGCAGAUAUCAGGAGGAACACCGGUGGCGAAGGCGGGUCUCUGGGCCGAUACUGACGCUGAGGAGCGAAAGCGUGGGGAGCGAACAGG
rnacentral:rRNA from 1 species